rnacentral:rRNA from 1 species
UACGAAGGGUGCUAGCGUUGCUCGGAAUUACUGGGCGUAAAGCGUGCGUAGGCGGCUUUGCAAGACAGAUGUGAAAUCCCCGGGCUUAACCUGGGAACUGCAUUUGUGACUGCAAGGCUAGAGUACGGCAGAGGGGGAUGGAAUUCCGCGUGUAGCAGUGAAAUGCGUAGAUAUGCGGAGGAACACCGAUGGCGAAGGCAAUCCCCUGGGCCUGCACUGACGCUCAUGCACGAAAGCGUGGGGAGCAAACAGG